CAGGUGCUAAUACCGUAUAACACUAUUUUCCGCAUGGAAGAAAGUUGAAAGGCGCUUUUGCGUCACUGAUGGAUGGACCCGCGGUGCAUUAGCUAGUUGGUGAGGUAACGGCUCACCAAGGCCACGAUGCAUAGCCGACCUGAGAGGGUGAUCGGCCACACUGGGACUGAGACACGGCCCAGACUCCUACGGGAGGCAGCAGUAGGGAAUCUUCGGCAAUGGACGAAAGUCUGACCGAGCAACGCCGCGUGAGUGAAGAAGGUUUUCGGAUCGUAAAACUCUGUUGUUAGAGAAGAACAAGGAUGAGAGUAGAACGUUCAUCCCUUGACGGUAUCUAACCAGAAAGCCACGGCUAACUACGUGCCAGCAGCCGCGGUAAUACGUAGGUGGCAAGCGUUGUCCGGAUUUAUUGGGCGUAAAGCGAGCGCAGGCGGUUUCUUAAGUCUGAUGUGAAAGCCCCCGGCUCAACCGGGGAGGGUCAUUGGAAACUGGGAGACUUGAGUGCAGAAGAGGAGAGUGGAAUUCCAUGUGUAGCGGUGAAAUGCGUAGAUAUAUGGAGGAACACCAGUGGCGAAGGCGGCUCUCUGGUCUGUAACUGACGCUGAGGCUCGAAGCGUGGGGAG
rnacentral:rRNA from 1 species